rnacentral:lncRNA from 1 species
UGUUUUUUGUCUUUCAGAGCCCCCCCCCCCAAUUUUUUUAAAGCAAAGACUUCUCACAGCAUCUAUCCAUCUGGGAAGAAAGUAUGAUAUUACUGAAAGAUGAUGAGAAAAAAUCAGCAUCUGUCAUUCAAAACAGGAACACCAGCCAAGACUACUGCCUUAAGACACUUUUCAGAAUUCCCAAAUUUCUCUGCACUGCCAUAUCCACCAUCUAAUUCUACCAUUAAAUUUUAAAAUUACCGUUUCUCACUUGGAAAACAAGAACAUCUGGUCUUCUACUGAGAUCAUUGUAAAGGACUUGCUGGGAUGAUCAUUUGAUGGAGCUGACCCACCAACUACUAACUUUGCAAAUAAAUUUUUAACAAAACCUCUUGCACUUCUCAAUUUUACUCCCAACUCCUGUGGCAUACUAGGUGUCAUAAUUUCUCAUCCCCAUUUGGUUUUGUGGAUUGAGCUGCUUUCUAUUUUUUCUUCCACUAACCUAGGAACUCAGAUUUAUGAAGUUUGUUGAGACAGUUCUCACUUUUUCUCUGCUAUUAUCCUUUCUACUACUCAGUUUGCUUCAGAAUACAAUCCAUACAAUAAAUGCAUGAAUCUUAGGUCUUCAGUGAGUAUCCAAAAUGAGUACAAUCAUGCAGUCAUCACCCAAAAAUGAUGUAGGAUGAUUCAGCAACCACCCUGUAAUAUUCUCUCCUCCUUGGACUUCCUAGUCAGUCCCCACUCCCCAUUAGAAGCAACCACUGGCUAGCUUCUAUGACUGCAGAUCAGUUUG